UUUACACACGGGGAAGGGGGAAAAAACUCUUUUCCAGUCUUUCAUUUUGUGUUCUUUUUUUUCAAAAAAUUAGUCAUAGGGAGUCAUGAAGCAGCAUGGUGAGGUUGGACCUGGCCAUGUGACAAAGGAAAUAACCGAGGCUUAGCAGGUAGUGACAAUGGUUUAGAGCUGGUGGUGCUAGUGGUGGUGGAUGGGUUGGUGGUGGUGGUGGUGGUGGUGGUGCCCGAAGAGGAAGUGGUGGUGGUGGCCACGCGCUCACAUGAAGGACACAUGGUGAGAGUGGUGGCAGGAAGCUGCAUGUAGAAAGGUUGUGAAGUUUUCAAAGCUCUUAAUUCUUGCAGUUCCUUUUGUAACCUCCUGUUCUCUUCUGUCAAUGUCUCACAGCACCUCUUUAAAUACUCACAAUCUACUUCUGUCUGCUUCAAUUUUGUCCUGUAUAUCAUUCAAAACAAAACCUAAAUCACAAAUUCAUUCUAAGAAUAUAUUUUUCUAAAUAAAAAUCGUUUCUCAAUAUAUAGUACUGUCAAAGAAAAGCACCUUGCCCUUCGAUUCUGAAACCACACUUCCACUUGGCGAGGACGAAGAUUCAACUGCUUUGCUAAAGCUAGCUUUUGCUUCUGCAUGAUUACAAGAAAGAGAAAACUUCAUUCAGUGCUAAACUCUAAUUAAACAAGUUCCACAAGAUUAGUAAACCCAUGAGAUUUUUGGGAUUUAGUUAGAAAUAAAAUCAAGAAAUCAUUUGAUAUCCUUCAAGAUAUGAUGACUUACAGGAUUGAGGGUAUUGUGCUCUUUGAAGCUCUCUUCAAGAAAAGCUGAUUGUUCUUUAGAGAGCCUUAGUUUCUUCCUUGUCAAACCGUUCUCGUCAUCAUCACUUGCUCUUGAACUUGCUCUCUCAGCAUCAAUAGCAUCUAAAUCUCUCUUACGGUCUCUCCCACUUCUAAUCCCAAAAUCCAUUUGAAAGGACGACGCUGCACUAUUUGGCGACGAAAUCGCCGCUCCUUCAUCAGCAUCAUCCAUGGACAACCGGUUCACAUCAAACCUUCUCCCUGGUGCUUCGGUUGAACCAGGUUCGGACACCACUGCAAAAAUUCGAAACCAAGCCAAGAAUCAACAAGUGAUAAAAAAAAAAACCUAACCCAAAUCUUAAAAACUGCUACAGAGCUGCUAAAAAAAUAUUUUAGUCCAAA